rnacentral:rRNA from 1 species
AGGGGUUUGAUCAUGGCUCAGAACGAACGCUGGCGGCGUGCCUAACACAUGCAAGUCGUACGUGAAAGCAGGCUUCGGCCUGUCGGUAGCGUGGCAGACGGGUGAGUAACACGUGGGCAACCUGCCCGGAGGCGGGGGAUAACCUCUCGAAAGGGAGGCUAAUACCGCAUAACAUCGCGAGCUCCUAGGGGCUCGCGAUCAAAGUCGGCCUCUACUUGUAAGCUGACACCACCGGAGGGGCCCGCGCCCCAUUAGCUUGUUGGUGAGGUAACGGCUCACCAAGGCGACAAUGGGUAGCCGGCCUGAGAGGGCGAUCGGCCACACUGGAACUGAGACACGGUCCAGACUCCUACGGGAGGCAGCAGUGAGGAAUUUUGCGCAAUGGGCGAAAGCCUGACGCAGCGACGCCGCGUGGAGGAUGAAGGUCUUCGGAUCGUAAACUCCUGUCAAGCGGGACGAACGCCGGAGAGGUCAAUACCCUUUUCGGUUGACGGUACCGCUGGAAGAAGCCCCGGCUUAACUCCGUGCCAGCAGCCGCGGUA